GCCGCAGUAGCUCAGCCUGGGAGAGCGAUCCGCUGAAGACGGAUAGGUCGCAGAUUCAAAUCCUGCCUGCGGCA
rnacentral:tRNA from 1 species